CUCAAAAAGAAAGUCCCUAGAGCAGGAGGGCAGGUCAAGAUUGGUGUCACAUCUGGGAGAAUUCCUGCUCUUCAGUUCUGGGGUUAAUUUAACCCUGUCCUGUUAAAUUCAGGAGUGAACAUGUGACAGGUAUGAGCUGACGAAAUCUAAGUGAAAUGACGUAUGCCACUUCUGGACAGAAGCUUUGAGAACAAGCAGGUAUCUUGAUUACAUGAUGGAGGAGAUGACCUUGCAGUAGAGACUGACCUCGCUCUAGAGGAGCAGCCAAAUGAACAAGGCACUGAGUCCACGGGGCAGAGGCAGCUCAGUCACAACUCGGAUAAAAUCAACACGAGUUUUGCUAAGAACUCCAGCAGAUAUAAGACUGUUUGGAAAUAUAUAGGAGUGACACAUAACUUGGAUGAGAGUGGGCUGUGCAAUAUUGCCUGGAGAAAUCAACAUUCACGCUGAGACCCAAAGGAUACACAAGAUUGAUUCAAAUGAAGCAAGGUGGAAACAAGUUUCCAGGAAGAGGAUAUAGUUGAGAAGUGAGGGAACAUAGCUUACUGAUAGAAUUCAGUAUGAACAAGGAAUACAAUGAGAGUUAUGACAUAGGGCAUGGAGGCGGUGAUGAAAAUGAAGCUACAGAAGGAAGCAAGGACCGGAUCAGUCUGCCAGAGAAGCUAAAUAUGUCCAUGAGGAUGUCUCCAGAAGAGAACAACAUUUGAAUCAGCAGACCUCGUAAAGAAGAUCACCCUCACCAAUGUGGAUGGGCAUCAUCCAAUCCUUUGAAGCCCUGAAUAGAACAAAAAGGUGGAGAAGGGCAAAUUCACUCUCUUUGCUUGAGCUGAGGCAUUCAUCUUCUGGAUCGAGUUAUCUGGAGAAGGAAUCUUCCAUGGAGAGAGUACAAGAACUGCAAAUGCUGAGUAUGCAUGGUGGACAGGAGGUAAAGCAUGGAGACAAGCGAGGCUUGAGUGCAGUGAGCAAGGGAGAGAUAACACAGGAGAGGCAGCAAGCAGCCAAGCCACUGAGGACCUUGUAGGCCAUAGUAAGGAAGUGUGCUAGAGGCCAUUGGGAGGUUUUGAGCAGAAUGACAUGAUCUAACUUAGAUUCUAAAGGGGUCCUUCUGGCUGCUGUGUAUGCUAGAUUGUGGGAGCACGAGAGUGGAAACAGUAAGACAAAGUAAGAGGUUAUUAUAGCAUUCCAGGCAAGAGAUAAUGGGGGACUAACCAGCAUGGUGGAAUCAAUGUCCUCCUUUACACAAAGCACCUAUUAUAAUACUUAAAACACUCAACAUUGCAUUUUGAGUAUUUGUCUGCAAAGAUGUCACCCCAUCCUUUGUAGGCACUAUGCUUGUCUACUUUUGUAUUUUCUAGAGUGCCUAGCCCUGGAAUUUACCCAGAGAUGGAUAGGGUGAGCUGCAUUUAUCAUCCUCUCUCUGUAUAUUAUCCUCUUAGAGACCUUUAUUUGGAGUCUACUCAGUUUUUUUUUCUUUUAUAGGAUACAUAACACUAGUUCCUUCAGACUUUUCCCCUGGGUCUUACCUUUCUAUCUU